CCCCCCCCCCCCACAUUUAUUUUUAAGAGUGACACUCUUCAAAAUAGGCUUCAAACUAGGACGUAUGAUUCGUACUUUAUAUUCCAAGUCUUCUGAAGCCAUACAGUAGCUUUAUUUAAAAAAUAAAAAAAAAUUAGAAAAACAUGAAGGUGAGUAAAUAAUUACUUAACUAAUAAAUAGUUCUGUAAACAAUUAUUAAACUAUUAUUUUACAUAAGAGGUUUAGAACAGUAGUACUUUGAUGUCUUUAUUGGUCUCUUUUGACAAUAAAUCGAAUACAACUGUUAAGAUAAUGUGUUUAUAGAGAAUUAGACUAUAGUCACUUUUGAGCUGCUUUGGAUUUUGUUUUUGUCUUGUUUGCCAAAUUGUGCUUCAUAAUCAGGUGAUGUUAUUUUGAUGUCUUUUCUUUUUGGUGGGCAGAAAGAGAUAGACAAAAUGAAGUCCCUGAUAAUGACUGAAAUGACCACCUUAGAUAUUCUCAAGGGUUAUAGGGAUGCAGAGGCAGCUGAAUUUCAUCGUGAACAAACAGACUGCAAGAGGGUGAAAGGUGAGCUGCAGAAAAAGUAUGAAGACGCUAUGUCUACAAUUACUCAGCUGGAGACUGAGGUGGAGCAACUGAGACAGACAUACGCAGAAAAAUCUGAGGUAAAUCUCACAGGCAUAGAAUAAAUAUAGCUGGUUUACUG
rnacentral:lncRNA from 1 species